rnacentral:rRNA from 1 species
UACGAAGGGUGCAAGCGUUACUCGGAAUUACUGGGCGUAAAGGGUGCGUAGGUGGUUGUUUAAGUCCGCUGUGAAAGCCCCGGGCUCAACCUGGGAAUGGCAGUGGAUACUGGACAGCUAGAGUGCGGUAGAGGGUAGUGGAAUUCCCGGUGUAGAGGUGAAAUUCGUAGAUAUCGGGAGGAACACCGGUGGCGAAGGCGGCGACCUGGGUAGAUACUGACGCUGAGGUGCGAAAGCGUGGGGAGCAAACAGG